rnacentral:lncRNA from 1 species
CGGAACAAUUCUUGAAUUUGUGUGUCACCUUUGCAGAUGACACACUGAGAGAAGAACAGAGGUUGAA